rnacentral:rRNA from 1 species
CUCAUUAAAUCAGUUAUAGUUUAUUUGAUGGUCUCUUUGUCUUUUUUUACCUACUUGGAUAACCGUGGUAAUUCUAGAGCUAAUACAUGCGCAAGGUCCCAAGCGCGGAGAGUAAGGCUUCACGGCUUUAUUCUUGCAUGCGCAGAGGGAUGUAUUUAUUAGGUUAAAAACCAGCACGCUGGCGACAGCGUCCAAUUCACUGGUGAUUCAUAGUAACUCUUUCGGAUCGCAUUCAUG